GAGAGUGGGGGUUCUAAAACCUAUCCCUCAAAAUAAAAUUAGGCUUCCUUAUAUAACAGAUGCUCCAGGAAAACAACAAAAGAAAAUUAUUGGCCUUUGAUGUUUACAUUGGCCCCUACUAUUGAUAUAUGACCUUUACUUUUACAAAAGUCAGUGGCCUCUACUGUGCACUUUAUAAAAUUUGUCUACCAUCAAGAUGUGUCCCCCAAUAAUGAUAUUACCAGUGGGGUUUUCAAUUAUAUCAUGUUUUCCCUUUACCUUUUGCAGAUGUGGAAGAUUCUUCUAGUGUAUCCUAGAAACUCUUCAAGUAUUCAUCCAGAUCUAAUUCUUCAUCACUCCGGAUGCUUUGAUAUUUCUCCGCUAAGCAGUCUCCUUUGUUUUUUGUAGUAUGACCUGCGAAUGAUAUGGACAUACCUGAAGGAAAUCCUUGAUCGAGAUUCCUCAUUAGAUUUCGCUUGAAUUCUUCCAUAUAUAAAGCCAGUAUCUCUAAUUUAAACAUUUUUCCUUUCUUCAUUUGAAGUUUAUAAACAACGUUCUUGAACGGACUGUGUUCCUCUUGUUCAUAUAAUGGAGCCAUCUCCUUCUGCUGUUUAUAUUGAGUAACAACUAUUUUUAUUAUUUC
rnacentral:lncRNA from 1 species